UCUUCAUUUCACACACUCUCUCGCCGGUCAGAGAAACGAGAGAAUGCGUGAAAUGAAGAGA
rfam:Pristionchus pacificus strain PS312 contig1894, whole genome shotgun sequence.